UACGUAGGGUGCAGGCGUUAAUCGGAAUUACUGGGCGUAAAGCGUGCGCAGGCGGUUUCUUAAGUCAGAUGUGAAAGCCCCGGGCUUAACCUGGGAACUGCGUUUGAAACUGGGAGACUUGAGUGUGGCAGAGGGGGGUGGAAUUCCACGUGUAGCAGUGAAAUGCGUAGAUAUGUCAUAGAACACCGAUUGCGAAGGCAGCUAACGAAGCUGUAACUGACACUGAGGCUCGAAAGUGCGGGGAUCAAACAGG
rnacentral:rRNA from 1 species